GAACCAAAAACUGGAACGAUGGAGCUCUACAUAUUCCUUCUACUAACAGGUAUUUAAAUCGUUUACGUUGUGAGGAUAUUUCAGCCAGUCAGUAUGCUCAUAUCAUAGUGUGUAACUAUGAAAAGUAUUUUCAUACUUAAGACAAUUUGACCAGGUGCUCCAGCAUCCAUGGACUGUUUGAGAGCUGAUAAGCAGAUGUUUCAUGGUUAGAGUUUAGUUGUGGUAGUUGGUGUCGGGUGAGAAAAUAAAUAUGCUAAUAAGAGAGAAAGAAUGUAAGUCACAUGAGAGAAAUAAAGAGUAAUGUUAAUUAGGUGAAACAUUCUGACAAAACUUUAAAAAUAUUAGCCUGUACUGAUUUGAAAGUCACUUAUGAUCUUGUGCCAUUUUUCUCUGCAGGACUGGUUGGAACAGCAUAUACUGGCAAUGGUAACAUCCAGACUCCAAUCAUUCACAAUCCAGAAACACUGUUUAAAUUGAUGUGCAUUUUUACUAGACUAUUGUAAUACGAGAUACAAAGUCCAUUCACAGCAGCAUCCAUUUCAAUAAAUUGACUUUUGAUCAUGUAAUACCAUCGACCAAUAACAUUUUUCUCCUUUAAAGACGCAACCACAAACGGCAUUGAAUCCUCAACUGUGAGACAAAACUACAAUGACACCUCACCAACCCAACAAGCAAUCAGCACUGAACCCUCACCCACGACACCAAACAACAACAACAUUGUCUCGUCAAACACACCACCAAUCGACACUGGAACCUCACGUGUGACGUCAAACAACAACAUUGUCUCGUCGAACACACCACCAAUCGACACUGGAACCUCAAGUGUGACGUCAAACAACAACAUUGUCUCGACGAACACACCACCAAUCGACACUGGAACCUCACGUGUGACGUCAAACAACAACAUUGUCUCGUCGAACACACCACCAAUCGACACUGGAACCUCAAGUGUGACGUCAAACAACAACAUUGUCUCGUCGAACACACCACCAAUCGACACUGGAACCUCACGUGUGACGUCAAACAACAACAUUGUCUCGUCGAACACACCACCAAUCGACACUGGAACCUCACGUGUGACGUCAAACAACAACAUUGUCUCGUCGAACACACCACCAAUCGACACUGGAACCUCACGUGUGACGUCAAACAACAACAUUGUCUCGUCGAACACACCACCAAUCGACACUGGAACCUCACGUGUGACGUCAAACAACAACAUUGUCUCGUCGAACACACCACCAAUCGACACUGGAACCUCACGUGUGACGUCAAACAACAACAUUGUCUCGUCGAACACACCACCAAUCGACACUGGAACCUCACGUGUGACGUCAAACAACAACAUUGUCUCGUCGAACACACCACCAAUCGACACUGGAACCUCACGUGUGACGUCAAACAACAACAUUGUCUCGUCGAACACACCACCAAUCGACACUGGAACCUCACGUGUGACGUCAAACAACAACAUUGUCUCGUCGAACACACCACCAAUCGACACUGGAACCUCACGUGUGACGUCAAACAACAACAUUGUCUCGUCGAACACACCACCAAUCGACACUGGAACCUCACGUGUGACGUCAAACAACAACAUUGUCUCGUCGAACACACCACCAAUCGACACUGGAACCUCACGUGUGACGUCAAACAACAACAUUGUCUCGUCGAACACACCACCAAUCGACACUGGAACCUCACGUGUGACGUCAAACAACAACAUUGUCUCGUCGAACACACCACCAAUCGACACUGGAACCUCACGUGUGACGUCAAACAACAACAUUGUCUCGUCGAACACACCAACAAUCGACACUGGAACCUCACGUGUGACGUCAAACAACAACAUUGUCUCGUCGAACACACCACCAAUCGACACUGGAACCUCACGUGUGACGUCAAACAACAACAUUGUCUCGUCGAACACACCACCAAUCGACACUGGAACCUCACGUGUGACGUCAAACAACAAUGGAACGUCAACACAGCCACCCAUAUCAUCAACAGGUACAACAACUGGAACAUCAGCUACAGUUAAUAUAACUGCUGCAACCCCAAUAACCACCGUUGCCACCACAACAACCACCGCUGCCACCACAACAACCACCGCUGCCACCACAACAACCACAACAGCUGCACCGCCGAAACCCGAAGUUCGGCUGAGUUUCAAAAUAACAGAAACUUAUACAAAAGAGCUUGAUGACAAAUCGUCACCUAAAUUUCUGAGUCUAAAACAGGACACAGCCAAAGCGCUUGAUGGGGUCUAUAAAGUUAGAUUUGGACCUUCCUUCAAUCACACAGAAGUCAACGGCUUCAGUCCAGGGUCCAUUAACGUUGACGCUUCUCUGAUAUUCAACAACGUGUCCAAUCUAUCGAAUGACACUUCUGCAGCUGCAGCUACGGCUUUAGUAGAGGCUGUUUCCAGCUCAAAUUUUUCUUUGUCUAUAAACUCAUCAUCAAUUACUGCAGCUGUUUUUACACCUACUUUACCUCCAGUCACGACAACAACAACAACAACAACAGGUAUCAUCAACAUAAACAGUCCAUGAAACAUUAACUCUGCUCAGUUUGAUGGUUUAAAUACUGAAUUAGGUGUAAUUAACUUCACAUUUUGUGUUUUGAUGUCACAAUGACCAGAUUUCUAUUAUCACGUGAUUUACAUAUGUUAGAGGAAAUCUAAAUAAAUUUGCACCUUGCAGCAACGACCAACUCCACCGCCCAGCCGCCGCCACCUACCAACUCCACCACACAGCCGCCUCCACCCACCAACUCCACCACACAGCCGCCUCCACCCAUCAACUCCACCACACAGCCAUCGCCACCCACCAACUCAACCACCCAGCCGUCGCCACCCACCAACUCAACCACCCAGCCGCCUCCACCCACCAACUCCACCACACAGCCGCCUCCACCCACCAACUCCACCACACAGCCGCUUCCACCCACCAACUCCACCACACAGCCGCUUCCACCCACCAACUCCACCACACAGCCGCUUCCACCCACCAACUCCACCACACAGCCGCUUCCACCCACCAACUCAACCACACAGCCGCUAUCCACCAUACCAACACCAACAACUGUCACCACGGUUUUACUACACCCACUACCCCCCCAGCAACUACAACAGCUCCGACCGUGGGGACAGUGUUUCGUUUGUUUUUUAGUCUACAGCAACAAUUUUCAUCAGCGCUUUCAACCCAAGGUUCACCAGAGUUCACCCAACUAAAGAGUAACAUAGAGUCACAGCUUACUCCAGUCUAUGCACUAAAGUAUGGAAGACUCUUCGUUCGAUUCAUUGUCUUUGGCUUCAGUCCAGGAUCUGUUGUGGUAAACUCUACUGUGGAACUCAACGAUACCACGACAAAUGCCACUGAUGUAGCUACAACUUUACAGGCUGCUGUUACCAGCGGGAAUCUUACCCUCAAUAUCAGCGCAUCAUCUAUAAAUGCAACUUUUGUCCCAGCUCCACCAGCUACAACUACAACUACACCAGUGGUGAUUACAUCUGCAUUCCCAGGCAACUCAACCGUACAGCCGCCAACAACAGCGGCCAACGUCACCUCGCCGCCGCCAACAACGGCCAACGUCACCUCGCUGCCGCCAACAACGGCCAACGUCACCUCGCUGCCGCCAACAGCGGCCAACGUCACCUCGCUGCCGCCAACAGCGGCCAACGUCAGCACGGCGGCGCCGACGACAGCGGCCAACGUCAGCACGCCGGCGCCGACGACAGCGGCCAACGUCACCUCACCAACACCAACAAAUGUCACCACGGUUACUACCCCCACUACCCCCCCAGCAACUACAACAGCUCCGACCGUGGGGAGAGUGUUUCUUUUGUUUUUUAGUCUACAGCAACAAUUUUCAUCAGCGCUUUCGACCCAAGGUUCACCAGAGUUCACCCAACUAAAGAGUAACAUAGAGUCACAGCUUACUCCAGUCUAUGCACGAAAGUAUGGAAGACUCUUCGUUCGAUUCUUUGUCUUUGCCUUCAGUUCAGGAUCUGUUGUGGUAAACUCUACUGUGGAACUCAACGAUACCACGACAAAUGCCACUGAUGUGGCUGCAACUUUACAGGCUGCUGUUACCAGCGGGAAUCUUACCCUCAAUAUCAGCGCGUCAUCUAUAAAUGCAACUCUUGUCUUAACUACAACUACAACUGCACCAGUGGUGACUACAACUGCAUUGCCAGGCACCUCCACUACACUGGCGAGUGCCACGACGCCCACCGCCACCACAACCACCACCGCACCGGCGAGUGCCACGACAUCCACCACCACUGCUGCUUCAACUGUAGCUUCCACAACAACACCUGCUCCCACCACCACCACCCCCAAUACAAAUGCUCCUUCACCCAGUGAAGGAUUCCUUUUCUUUAAAUUUAGCCUCAACCAAAUCUUCACCUCAGACCUGGCUGAUAAUACCUCAGCUGGUUAUCAGGCCCUGGCUGGAAAAGUGGUCACAGAGUUAAACAGAGUGGGACAACUGCUGUACCCAUCUUUCCGUCGCUCCCGGGUUAAUUACUUCCUGAGUGGAUCAGUAGUAGGCAACACAACUCUUGUCUUUGACAAUCAGUCCUCAACUCCUGCUGCAAGCAACGCGUCUAAUGCUUUUGCUCAACAACUUUUGAACAGCACCGUCUUGAACUUCAUCCCAGGCAGCUUCUCUGCAAAUUCAUCAAGCAGCCUUUGGUCCACUUUUGGUUCAUUGUUGGCCCUCUGUCUAACACUAUUCACUAUGGGACAGCUGCUGACGGACUUCUAAUCAGUGGCCAAGGAAACUGACUGACUAAAUACACUGGUGAAAGCUACUGACCAAGUGUGGGAGGACAUGCCCAGUAACCAAAAUCAAGUUUGCACUAUGAAAUUUACCAGUUCAAUACAUUGUGGUAAAUAGAUGUGCCAAGAGUCCCACACUAAGACAUUUACUCAGGGUUUUAAGAUCUAAAUUUCUCUUAGACACUUGCCUUUUAAUAAGUACAUAUAAUGGUAAUGAAGAAUAUGUUAUCUAAAUGCCUAAUAUUUUGUUUUUCAUUGGCAUUAAUAUUUAAAAAUAUAAGGACAUGAUUAUAAAAACAUGAUAAGUAUUUAUAUAUUUACACAGUUUGGCAGCAUCCACUUUACAUCCACAAACACAGUUGCUGUUUGGUAAAAUGCAUAUAAAAAAACAAUUACAGUUUGCUGCAAUUAAUCACGUUUCACAGAAUCAUCUGAGAUCUAAACACGAGGCAGUUGAUCUGCCUUUUAUUGAGAUGCUGACUGCUAUUAUCAUACUGUCAAAUAAGAGUACGAUGAUACAACAAAUUGUUGAUUUUAAUAUAUUUGAUGAAAGUCCUAAAUGUAUUGUAUGUUGUUUGAAAAGGGAAAUGAAACAAAUGUCAAUCAGAAAAUUAUUAAAAUGUUUACCCAUAAAAUAGCUUUGUUGGGUUUUUACUACCUACAUUUCCAAGGCUUUAUUUGACUUUUUUUUUAAUAAAGAUUAAUAGAGUAAUAGGGUGGGGUAUUCU
rnacentral:lncRNA from 1 species